GGGACGUGGAUUGGGUAUGUGUGGGUACUGACACCAGUAAGGUACGGUAGGGACGUGGAUUGGGUAUGUGUGGGUACUGACACCAGUAAGGUACGGUAGGGACGUGGAUUGGGUAUGUGUGGGUACUGACACCAGUAAGGUACGGUAGGGACGUGGAUUGGGUAUGUGUGGGUACUGACACCAGUAAGGUACGGUAGGGACGUGGAUUGGGUAUGUGUGGGUACUGACACCAGUAAGGUACGGUAGGGACGUGGAUUGGGUAUGUGUGGGUACUGACACCAGUAAGGUACGGUAGGGACGUGGAUUGGGUAUGUGUGGGUACUGACACCAGUAAGGUACGGUAGGGACGUGGAUUGGGUAUGUGUGGGUACUGACACCAGUAAGGUACGGUAGGGACGUGGAUUGGGUAUGUGUGGGUACUGACACCAGUAAGGUACGGUAGGGACGUGGAUUGGGUAUGUGUGGG